rnacentral:rRNA from 1 species
GGCGGCGUGCUUAACACAUGCAAGUCGUACGGUAAGGCCCUUUCNGGGGUACACGAGUGGCGAACGGGUGAGUAACACGUGAGUAACCUGCCCACAACUUUGGGAUAACGCUAGGAAACUGGUGCUAAUACUGGAUAUGUGCUCCUGCUGCAUGGUGGGGGUUGGAAAGCUCCGGCGGUUGUGGAUGGACUCGCGGCCUAUCAGCUUGUUGGUGGGGUAGUGGCCUACCAAGGCGUCGACGGGUAGCCGGCCUGAGAGGGUGACCGGCCACAUUGGGACUGAGAUACGGCCCAGACUCCUACGGGAGGCAGCAGUGGGGAAUAUUGCACAAUGGGNGNAAGCCUGAUGCAGNAACGCCGCGUGCGGGAUGACGGCCUUCGGGUUGUAAACCCCUUUCAGCAGGGACGAAGCUUUUUGUGACGGUACCUGCAGAAGAAGCACCGGCUAACUACGUGCCAGCAGCCGCGGUGAUACGUAGGGUGCGAGCGUUGUCCGGAUUUAUUGGGCGUAAAGAGCUCGUAGGCGGUUGUNGCGUCGGAAGUGAAAUCUUGGGGCUUAACUNNNNNNNCGCUUUCGAUACGGGUUGACUUGAGGAAGGUAGGGGAGAAUGGAAUUCCUGGUGGAGCGGUGGAAUGCGCAGAUAUCAGGAGGAACACCAGUGGCGAAGGCGGUUCUCUGGACCUUUCCUGACGCUGAGGAGCGAAAGCGUGGGGAGCGAACAGGCUUAGAUACCCUGGUAGUCCACGCUGUAAACGGUGGGUACUAGGUGUGGGGUCCAUUCCACGGAUUCUGUGCCGUAGUUAACGCAUUAAGUACCCGCCUGGGGAGUACGG